UUAGCCAUUCUGAUUGCACAGCCUCUGGGUUAUAAUCUCAUCUCAAAUUCAAACCAAGGCUAAGCAGAGUAGGGCUCAGUCAGUACUUAGAUAGGGGACUUGAGGUAAAACUCAGGUUUUGCUAGC
rnacentral:rRNA from 1 species